ensembl:antisense Gm20641 predicted gene 20641
GAGAACAUCAAGAGAUCUCAGCACACAGAAUCAAGUCUUUCAAAGAGUAGUGUACCUAGGAAGUUUAUCAGACUUUCAUGAAUCAACAUUAAGCAGAUUUCCUCUUUGAAUUCUCAUUGAUAAUGAAGAAUAACCUUCAUUUAAUAAUCAUGAAAGGUGAGAGUUUGUCCUAUAGAGCUGCACUUUUUUAAAGUACCUUAAAGUGUUACUAUUUAUUUAUUUACUACACUUAUAUAUUUAUUUAUGAGGGGUCUGUGUGUGGUGCCAUAUGUAUAUAUAAGUUGGAGGACAAUUUGGGGGAGUUGGUUCCCUCUUUUCACCAUAUGGGUCUGAGGGAUUGAACACAUGCUAUGCACCUGUGUAACAAUGUACUUUACCUGCUGAAAUAUCUUGUUGACCCUAAAGUACGUUUUAAUAAUAGAUUUUGGGGGGUAGAGUCAUCUACUCAUUCUAUCAUUCUCUAUAUUUCAGGAUGGCAUAAUUAAAUGAUGUCUUAGUACCAUGGAUUUCUGUGUCUCCAUUGACAAGAAGCUAAGUCCUUUUGUGUCCCUAUUGACUUUCUCCUUUUGUAAAAAUUCCAUGGUUGGAAAAUGUCUCAGGGCUGUUCUACACAAG